rnacentral:rRNA from 1 species
UACGUAGGGAGCAAGCGUUGUUCGGAGUUACUGGGCGUAAAGAGUUCGUAGGCGGUCCGGUAAGUUUGGUGUGAAAUCUCCCGGCUCAACUGGGAGGGUGCGCCGGAGACUGCAGGGCUUGAGUAUGGGAGAGGUAAGCGGAAUUCCUGGUGUAGCGGUGAAAUGCGCAGAUAUCAGGAGGAACACCGGUGGCGAAGGCGGGUCUCUGGGCCGAUAUUGACGCUGAGGAGCGAAAGCGUGGGGAGCGAACAGG